GUUUUACAAACGCAAACGAACCCCAUUACAAAAGGCGACAAAGUUACUGGAUCAAUUGAUAAAUAAAUGAGGAAUAAAUGAGUUUACUCCAUUCUGGCUACUGUACAUUAAAUACCCCGCCAUAGAAAGCGUGUACGAUCCGAUCGGCAAUUAAAGGCACACGUCGAGAUGUUCUUGCCCGCUAUUGUUCCAUCGGUUAAUUACGGGCGAAAGUGUAGCGCGAAAGUGCAUUGUUAGGGUUUUUAGUAUUGAUGACACAUAAGGAGAACGACCCCUAAUAAUUGCCUAGUUCUUGUAACGAUGCGAAUCUUUGGUUACCUUCAAUGGUAUGGCAACCCUAUACAUAUACCACAUAAUGGAUUUAGAGGGAGAGACUGUUUUUGUUUUCUCAAACAUGCAAUGAAAUAUGAUAAGUAAAAAAAAAACAGUUAGUUUACCCUCUGGGUUUGAAGGUCAGAUGGCAGUCGCUUUCGUAAAAACUAGUGCCUACGCCAAUUCUCGGGAUUAGUUGCUAAGCGGACCCUGGCGCAUGAGCUGUGGCAAAAUGCCGGGACAACGCGAGGUAGAAGAAGAAGUAAAUAAGAACAGUUAUACAGAAAAAAGAUGCAGCAUAAAGACAUAUUUCCUUCUUUAUUAUUUGCCAACGAUAGUAUAUUGCAUAUACCUAUUGCAUUGUUGCAUCAACAAGAUAAGUUUAGCCCACGAAUGACGUAUAUUUCGGUACCUGCAUAAAAGAUAACCGCAGAAACGCAGACGGCUACUGCAAUGCGUUGGAUUUGGCAAGCGACUCUGAUAGUGAUAGCGGAACGUCGUGUAUCAAAAGAAAACAACGGUUGAAGUUUACUUAUCAAAAUUCUGUAUAUUUAACUUUUGUUCUCGUAUUUUCAUAUUAUUUUAUUGACCUAGACCGUAAAUGUAAACUUUUCCGGUAAAUAUGAGUCUAAGAUUCACCGGAAAAGUUCACCUUUAAAGUUCAUAUAGACACACACAAACUACUAAUUUUUACGAGAGACUAAAAUACACCGACGGCCGCUUUGUUUAGAAUCUCACACAAAGUGGCCCAUUUUAAUGUCACGUGAGUAUAUCAUACAAUAAUAAACAAAUUCUUACUGAUUCUUCUUCUUUAAAUGUCCAGAUGUGUAAAGCUUAAUUCCAAUCACAGUGAACAAGCCAGCUUUCUAAUUAAGAAGACGGUUUCCUUUUCCCACAAUUAGUAAAUAAACAAGUCGUUUUGUUUAUCUCUCGUAUGGCGCCGUUAAUUUUAUCUGAUCCAUGAAAGUCGCGUUUUGGUGAUCCAAGUUUGAGGGAAAAUCUGUAGAAACUCAAAUAAAUUGAAGAGCUGGGACUCGUUGGGUAAACUGGCCUGAAUCAUACUGAAGUAGCAAAGACUGACUAGUGAUAAAAACUGAACAAGUCUGUCACGUUUUGUAACAUGAGGUCGUUUGCCGGCUUUGCCGCUCAGUCCAAAAUUAUCGAAAGAGUAAAUCAUUUCUCUGUUCUCAGUAUUUUGAUUUUUAUAUUAAUUGAUUUUUUUUAAAUAAGCAUUAUUUAUGUUUUAAUUUCUAACCGCCUGUAAAACGAUGUUCCAUUAAAAUUGACAAGCCAAAAUUGCAUUUCUUGGUAAGCUUUGUUUUGUGCGCGGGUUAAUUAAAUAUUAAAUCGGCUUAAUAAAAUAAUUUAAAAAAAUAUAUGUUCAACUUAUUGACUUGAACGUAAUAUAGUGACAUAGAUCUUCUUCUUCCUCGCGUUGUCCCGGCAUUUUGCCACGGCUCAUGGGAGCCUGGGGUCCGCUUGGCAACUAAUCCCAAGAUUUGGGGUAGGCACUAAUUUUUACGAAAGCGACUGCCAUCUGCCCUUCCAACCCAGAGGGUAAACUAGGCCUUGUUGGGAUUAGUCCGGUUUCCUCACGAUGUUUCCUUCACCGAAAAGCGGCUGGUAAAUAUCAAAUGAUAUUUCGUACAUAAGUUCCGAAAAACUCAUUGGUACGAGCCGGGGUUUGAACCCGCGACCUCCGGAUUGCAAGUCGCACGCUCUUACCGCUAGGCCACCAGCGCUCCGUAUAUAUAGUGACAUAGAUAAAUGGUUAAAAGCUAAGCCGUUAGAAGCAAAUAAUAAAAUAAAUAUUAAUGACCAUGUUAUUAACCGCUUUUAAUUAUUACAAACGAGCCGACUCAUAUUCGCAAAUCACGCCGCAUCACCAAAACUUUCUCAUACUGCAAACGCUUUCUUCCAGUUCGAUAUUUUCUAUUAAUUUCACCCAGUUGUAUAACUGAUGUCCGAUCAUCUUAGUACA